rnacentral:rRNA from 1 species
UACGAAGGGGGCUAGCGUUGCUCGGAAUCACUGGGCGUAAAGCGCACGUAGGCGGCUUUUUAAGUCAGGGGUGAAAUCCUGGAGCUCAACUCCAGAACUGCCUUUGAUACUGAGAGGCUCGAGUCCGGGAGAGGUGAGUGGAACUGCGAGUGUAGAGGUGAAAUUCGUAGAUAUUCGCAAGAACACCAGUGGCGAAGGCGGCUCACUGGCCCGGUACUGACGCUGAGGUGCGAAAGCGUGGGGAGCAAACAGGG